CCUACGGGAGGCAGCAGUGGGGAAUAUUGCGCAAUGGGCGAAAGCCUGACGCAGCGACGCCGCGUGAGGGAUGAAGGUCUUCGGAUCGUAAACCUCUGUCAGCAGGGAAGAACGGUCACUGUGCUAAUCAGCAGUGAAUUGACGGUACCUGCAAAGGAAGCACCGGCUAACUCCGUGCCAGCAGCCGCGGUAAUACGGAGGGUGCGAGCGUUAGUCGGAAUUACUGGGCGUAAAGCGCUCGUAGGCGGUAUGUCAAGUCAAGGGUGAAAUCCCCGCGCUCAACGUGGGAACUGCCUUUGAAACUGGCAAACUGGAGUGUGUGAGAGGAUAGUGGAAUUCCAGGUGUAGGAGUGAAAUGCGUAGAUAUCUGGAGGAACAUCAGUGGCGAAGGCGACUAUCUGGCACAUAACUGACGCUGAGGAGCGAAAGCGUGGGUAGCAAACAGGAUUAGAUACCCUAGUAGUC
rnacentral:rRNA from 1 species